UAAAACAGAAAUUUCAGGCUUCAAACAUUUCACUUCAUGUGUUUUGAGUCUGUAUAACAUGAGUUUCACUUUCUGUAACGAGGGAGAGAAAUAUUGGACUUUUCAUGAUAUUCCAAGUUUGUAAAUCUGAUUGAGAUCUGUGAAGGCGGUGCUGCAGAGAUGUGGUCGUCCUCCUGAAACGUUGAUCCUCGGAUCGGUUCCAUGUAAAAACAGCUUCAUUAUCCUGACAGCUGCUGAUGCCGAGGAUCCACAACAAUCUCAUCUGUCCAGAUCCACAGAGGGAAAGUCAGUUCAUCAGCGGAGAAAAACUCUCAUUAUGAACUGUGAAGAAACCCUUAAAGCUCUGGAUGUUGAGCUGGUUCUGAUUUUGGUUCCGUGACGAUGCAGCUGCUAAUUAGAACUGGAUUAAUUAGACUCUCCAUCAGCAGACGGUCGUUCCUGGAGGAUGAGUUUAUCUGCAGAGUUUUCACUCGGCAGAUAAAAACUCUGUUUUACCAAAGUCUGAAUCCUCCGGUUGUUCCUGGAAAGCCGCCAUGUUUGUUGAGAAGCAGGCGUCAAAUUGGAGAAGCAGAGACUUCAUGAGCAGAGGAGCAGACUGACGUUGGGCGACGACUUUCAUACAAACUGCAAAUCAAACAACAUUCAGAUGCUUUAGAUGCCUCAGAGACUCGCAUUCAGUUCAGUUUCCCUAACAUGGUUGUUGAAUGUCAACUCGCCUCAGUUCAGAUUAGAGCUGAUAACAUGAAGAUCAGACAAAUUCAGCUUCUUCAGCCUGAUUCUCUGAUGUUUCUCACAAAUUCAAAAUGUCUGAAUCCUUUUCUGAAAAAACCAUCAACAUGGUUUUACUGCCUGAUUGUUAUUUUUCCUGAACUGAAGCUGAACUUAGAUCAUGAUCUGUUCCUGAGCAGCAGCUCAUGGAUUCCUCCAUGGUGGGAUUGGAAUCAAUCGAUCACCAAGUGGUUUGUGAUCAAUCUGGCAAGUAAUAAAAAAAUCUACAUAUUUCAGUUCUUUAAGGAAAAAAGUGCUUGUGUAUUUUUAUUUUUUUCAAAUCUUUUCAGCUGUAUGUACAUUUUGGAAAGGGAAAAAUAUAUUGCAAAAUUUCUUGCAAUUAUUUCUAAUCUCAUCACAAAGUUUGUGAUUUUGGAAAAAAACAUAAAAAAACAAACAAACAACAAACAACAUGCAGGAACAUGGAUUUAUUACAGAGUGGAAUACUUCAAGCUUUUAUUUCCUGUAAUGUUAAUUAUCAUGGUUUGCAGAUAAAACCUGAGCUUCAGUGACGCUGGAUGAAUCCGGCUCCAGUCAGACGAACAUCCGUCUGGUUUCUCUGUUUCUGUUGGACCGAUUCACUGCAGACAUCCUAACACGUUUUUAGGAAGCUGUAACAUCCCUCACCAGGUUUUAUCUUCAUGCCAGCAGAUAUCUGGCGCCUCCAACACUGAAAUGUGAUAAAACACAAAGUUUUAAGCUACAAUAAUAAUAAUAAAUCUCUCUGCGUCUCCCUCCCUCCCCUCCUGCUGCUCUCGGUUCUGGCCCAAAUUUGGCGCUGUCGGCCUCUGAAAAGGCAUUUCCUCCUGACUGCCAGCCGCUGUGGCAGCAUUUUGAGUUUCCCACAGGAAAAUAAAAACAUAAACUCUGACAUAACAUGUUUUUAGAUGAAGGGA